rnacentral:rRNA from 1 species
AGCCGCCGCGGUAAUACCAGCGGCCCUAGUGGUGAUCGUUAUUAUUGGGCCUAAAGCGUCCGUAGCCGGUUCGGUAAAUCUCUGGGUAAAUCGUUGGGCUUAACUCAACGAAUUCUGGGGAGACUGCCGAACUUGGGACCGGGAGAGGUCGGAGGUACUCCAGGGGUAGGGGUGAAAUCCUGUAAUCCUUGGGGGACCACCGGUGGCGAAGGCGUCCGACCAGAACGGGUCCGACGGUAAGGGACGAAGCCCUGGGGCGCGAACCGGAUUAGAAUACCCGGGUAGUCCAGGGUGUAAACGCUGUGCGCUUGGUGUUGGGGGUCCUCCGUGGGCACCCAGUGCCGGAGAGAAGUUGUUAAGCGCACCGCCUGGGGAGUACGGUCGCAAGACUGAAACUUAAAGGAAUUGGCGGGGGAGCACAGCAACGGGAGGAGCGUGCGGUUUAAUUGGAUUCAACGCCGGAAAACUCACCAGGGGCGACUGCCACAUGAAGGUCAAGCUGAUGACUUUACCUGAUUGGUAGAGAGGUGGUGCAUGGCCGUCGUCAGUUCGUACCGUAGGGCGUUCUGUUAAGUCAGAUAACGAACGAGACCCUUGCCCAUAAUUGCCAUGUUUCCCUCCGGGGAAACGGGACUUUAUGGGGACCGCUGUUGCAAAAGCAGAGGAAGGGAAGGGCAACGGUAGGUCAGUAUGCCCCGAAUCCCCUGGGCGACACGCGCGCUACAAAGGCCGGGACAAAGAGUUCCGACCCCGAGAGGGGAAGGUAAUCUUGAAACCCGUCCGUAGUUCGGAUCGAGGGCUGCAACCCGCCCUCGUGAAGCUGGAUUCCGUAGUAAUCGCAGAUCAACAUCCUGCGGUGAAUAUGCCCCUGCUCCU